GACGAACGCUGGCGGCGUGCUUAACACAUGCAAGUCGAACGGAAAGGCCCUGCUUUUGUGGGGUGCUCGAGUGGCGAACGGGUGAGUAACACGUGGGUAACCUGCCCUUGACUUUGGGAUAACUUCAGGAAACUGGGGCUAAUACCGGAUAGGAGCUCCUGCUGCAUGGUGGGGGUUGGAAAGUUUCGGCGGUUGGGGAUGGACUCGCGGCUUAUCAGCUUGUUGGUGGGGUAGUGGCUUACCAAGGCUUUGACGGGUAGCCGGCCUGAGAGGGUGACCGGCCACAUUGGGACUGAGAUACGGCCCAGACUCCUACGGGAGGCAGCAGUGGGGAAUAUUGCACAAUGGGCGGAAGCCUGAUGCAGCAACGCCGCGUGCGGGAUGACGGCCUUCGGGUUGUAAACCGCUUUCGCCUGUGACGAAGCGUGAGUGACGGUAAUGGGUAAAGAAGCACCGGCUAACUACGU
rnacentral:rRNA from 1 species